rnacentral:lncRNA from 1 species
UGCCCAUAGGUGAGUGUGAGUGGUUGUUUCUAUGUCUUAGCCGUGUGAUAGCCUGGCAGCCUGUCCAGGGUGUACCCCUCCUCUUGCCCUGAGAUAGCUGGUAUAGGUUCCAGCCCCACCAUGAACCUGAUAAGGAUAAGCAGAAAAGAACGGAUGGAUGAAUCUAUGUAUAAGGAACUUUGAAGUUGUUAAAGGUGGUUGUACACGCUACUGAAUCAUUGUGUGCUUAGUUUUAUUAAAAAAUUAACAUGUAUACAAUCUUGGAACUGACACAGGGUGUACUGAAGCUGAACCUUAAAAUGUUUUGUUGGAAUAAUUGUAAUAUAACUCCAGUCACCAUACUGACUGGGUCAGUGUGAGAGUUUGAAUACCCUGACCACAUUCUGUAAUAUGAGCCACAACUGAUAAUGGUUUGAUUUUACAGGAUACCCAGAGCCUAAUUUGAUGCAGGUCAACAGUGUCUUCAACUCCAGUGGUUCUGUGCAGAACAGAGACGCUAACCAGUCGAACUCCCUCCUUUCCACUUUUCGUCAUCUCCUGACCUUAGUCACUACAGGAACAAACAUGAAGUCAUUUGGUCAACUCCCCAUGGAUAUUUCACAAAAAAUGGUUUGAACAUAUAAACAUCCAUACACCCAUAAUCACACAUACUGUAUAAUCUAUCUCCAUUACCUUAACAUAUAGCCUUCUGAAAUUGGGUGAUUUUUUUUGAU